rnacentral:rRNA from 1 species
UACGUAGGGAGCAAGCGUUGUCCGGAAUUACUGGGUGUAAAGGGAGCGUAGGCGGGAUGGCAAGUCAGGUGUGAAAACUAUGGGCUCAACUCAUAGAUUGCACUUGAAACUGUUGUUCUUGAGUGAAGUAGAGGUAAGCGGAAUUCCUGGUGUAGCGGUGAAAUGCGUAGAUAUCAGGAGGAACACCGGUGGCGAAGGCGGCUUACUGGGCUUUUACUGACGCUGAGGCUCGAAAGCGUGGGGAGCAAACAGGAUUAGAUACC